rnacentral:rRNA from 1 species
GAGUGAUGAAGGUUUUCGGAUCGUAAAGCUCUGUUGUUAGGGAAGAACAAGUGCGAGAGUAACUGCUCGCACCUUGACGGUACCUAACCAGAAAGCCACGGCUAACUACGUGCCAGCAGCCGCGGUAAUACGUAGGUGGCAAGCGUUGUCCGGAAUUAUUGGGCGUAAAGGGCUCGCAGGCGGUUUCUUAAGUCUGAUGUGAAAGCCCCCGGCUCAACCGGGGAGGGUCAUUGGAAACUGGGAAACUUGAGUGCAGAAGAGGAGAGUGGAAUUCCACGUGUAGCGGUGAAAUGCGUAGAGAUGUGGAGGAACACCAGUGGCGAAGGCGACUCUCUGGUCUGUAACUGACG